rnacentral:rRNA from 1 species
UACAGAGGGUGCAAACGUUGUUCGGAAUUACUGGGCGUAAAGCGUGUGUAGGCGGUUUUGUAAGUCGGGCGUGAAAGCCCCGGGCUCAACCCGGGAAGUGCACUCGAUACUGCGGAACUAGAGUUUCGGAGAGGUUGGUAGAAUUCUUGGUGUAGAGGUGAAAUUCGUAGAUAUCAAGAGGAAUACCGGUGGCGAAGGCGGCCAACUGGACGAAAACUGACGCUGAGACACGAAAGCAUGGGGAGCAAACAGG